AAAGUACUAGUUAAAUUAUAACAUUAAAUUGUCAAAUUAAAAUUACUAAAAGUGUACUUUA
rnacentral:tRNA from 1 species